UGCAGGUACAGCUUCCUUGUGAGGGGAAGCAAAAGGGCAGGCACUGAUCUCUGCUCCAGGGUGACACUGACAGGACCCGAUGGAGCAGCAUGAAGUUGUGUUGGGGAGAUUUAGGUUGGAGAAUAGAAAGAGGUAGUACACUUUUACACCCAGAGAAAGGGUGGGUACUGGAACAGGCUCCCCAGGGAAGCGGUCACAGAAGCAGUUAUGGACAAUGCUCUGUGGCACACGGUGUGAAUCUUGAGGUGUCCAGUGCAGAGCCAGGAGCUGGACUCAAUGAUCCUGGUGGAUCCCUUCCAACUGAGGGAAUAUAUUCCAUGAUUCUGUGAAAUAAUGUUGAGAAAUGGAUUACCUUUUUGUUUAUACUUACAUGCAUCAAAAUCUGUCAGUGCAAAUAAGCAAAUAAUAUUGUUUCUGAAGAUUUAUAGCUGAACCUAUGGUUCCAUGAAUAUACUUACCAAGAAUAAAAUCAUUCUAUUUAUCAGCUUCAUGAAAAUUUAGAGGCAGUUAGUAAGUUGUUUUUUUUUUAUUGUGCUUAAUAAUGCAGAGAGUAAAAAGAGCUUCACCUUGAAAAUUGAAAGGAGAAACUAUCUUGAGACACUUGUAUGCUGACAUCUUGAAGACAAUAAUCUCAGCUCUAAUGAACAGAGCAUUAGCUUUCUAAUCAGACAAGAUUAGGUGGAGUUCUAUGUUGAAGUUCCUUAAUGACGGUUGAAAAAUUUGCCUCAAAUGAAAAUUGCUGAAGAAAUAUGAAGAGGUGCCAUACCUGUGUAAUCACACCAAACAUUACUUCUUCUCAAAUCAUUGGCAAUAUAAUUGUUGAUACUGAUAGAAAGAGAACUGAGUCAAUAUUUUCUGAACAGUAAAAUUUCUUCAUAGAAUUUGUUUUUUUUAAAUGUAGCUGUCACAUACGACUACAAAGAAACAAAAUUUACAGGAAGUAAAUGAUGGAGCAGUAAAAAGUUAUCUUUCAUCUCGGGCCAAAAACAUGAGAAACAAACUAAAAAUGUUUUAGCCAAAUAAUUUUCUGCAUUAAAAAAGUAGGACAACUCUCUUUCCAAGUUUGAAGGUGGAGCCUACUUUAUAUUCAGUGUAUAUCUUGUAAUUUUUAGGCAGAGGAAUACCAGUGCAGACUGCAGUAAUACUAAACCAAAGUAGGGUAAGACAAACCUGAUGUCAGUCUUAACUAUGAAAAGAAUACUGUAACAUCUCAGUAUCAAUUAUUCUUCUGGAAAAUAAUUUGUAUUAUGAAGUAUUGUGAUUUUUUAGAAGGAAUACAAUCUUGUUUGGGGGAUUGGUUGAGAUGCUUUGUGUUUAUACUUUUUGCCAUAGAGCAGAAAUACCAGUUAAUUUAAUGUAAUAAGUUUAUAUAUAAAGUUUAAUAAAUUAAUAGGCACACUGUAUGGGAAACUAAAACAUGCACUUUAUGAUUUGUUGCUGAAAAAUUAUCUAUUUAUCUUACUAGCUUUUUCAGUUAAUAAGUAGGUUGGUUCACAAUGCACCAGCAAAUACAGCAUAACAUCUGGUAAAUUCCAGGCUAUAAACUAAAGAGGUGGAAACAGGACUUCUGGGUGUGUUUACAACAUAAUUCUUGCAGGUAAGAUGUGCAGUCAAGUGAACAAAAGAUCCAAAAUCAAUCAUAUACACUUUUCAGUUCCUGCUAUCCAACAUGUUAUAUUUAUGCGAGCAUAUAUGCAAAAUCGGUAUUGUUUUUUCAUUUCUUCUGAUAUAUCUAAGCCAGAAACUAGCACCCUUUCAGUGUUCUUCCCUUUGUUAGAGCUGCAUCAUUGCCAACUCUAAUCACUAUAACUAUAAGUUAAAUCUACUAUUUUGAACAACAGCAGACUGUUUUCCAAAGUACUCUUCUGUGGGUGCAGAACACUUAUUCUCUAUUCCACUCCUCCUCAGACACCAUCUCAGUAAUUUUUCUUUCAUCUUCAUUCAUAAAGAUGCAAAUAUUGGACUUUUCAUAAACAGCAGAAAGUCUACACCAGCAGUGAGAAAGAGGCUGCAAAAAUUAGACAUGAUGCAAAUUGUGCUGCUCUUCCUCUCUUUGAUUCUGAAAAAAAUCUACCAUGAGCUUCACUGUAUAAUUUUGGUGUUCUACAGUUGGAAAGAGACAUUCCAAGGAAGGCAAAAUGUUUGAGCAGACCACAAAGUGCUGCGGAAGAACUUCAUGGGGAAAGAGUGGUGCAGGAGCUUCCCCUGUCUUGGGCAGCUUGAGGAAAUACCAAGAAGAAUUACAGGCUUUUUCUGGACGGGGCUGGAAGAGCCUACUUUGCAUUCCUGCUCUUUCCAGUAGAAUGAUACAGAAACUAUGUUUUAACAGAUUAACUCUUAGUGUUACCUUGGAACUGUAUCAAUACUUGAUACAUGCUAAUAAAGUGUUAGUAAGUAUGUAGAAGUUACAUUUUUAUGUUCAGUUCUGCAUUCCUUGAAUAGUAAAGAUUUCAUUAUUAACUUUAAGACUGAACAGGGGAAUAUGGACUUUAAAUACUUGAAGCAGCUGUAGGUUAUGUAAUAGAAGGUAAAAAUGAACUAUUUUAGGAGUAGUAGGAAAAAUCUGCUAGUUGUUUCAAUCUGCUAGUUUGUAUGAGUCCUAAUAAAUAAAAUAAUUUUCGCAUUUUAA